rfam:Macleaya cordata isolate BLH2017 scaffold887, whole genome shotgun sequence.
UCGACCUUAGCUCAGUCGGAAGAGCGGAGGACUGAUCCUCUCGGUCGCUGGUUCGAUUCCGGCAGGUCGAA